UUUCCGUAGGUGAACCUGCGGAAGGAUCAUUACUGAGAGCUAAGUGUAGUAGUCUCAGCUAUUACUCUGCACACUCCACCCUUUGUUUAUAUUACCGUUGUUGCUUUAGCAGGCCCGCUCUCCAGCCGCCGGCACCUGCUGGCUAGUGCCUGCUAAAGAACCUAAAACUCUUGUUAAUAAUAUUGUCUGAGUACUAUUUAAUAGUUAAAACUUUCAACAACGGAUCUCUUGGUUCUG
rnacentral:misc_RNA from 1 species